rnacentral:rRNA from 1 species
CAGCAGCCGCGGUAAUACCGGCGGCCCGAGUGGCGGUCACUCUUAUUGGGGUUAAAGCGUCCGUAGCCGGGUUGGGAAGUCCUCCGGGAAAUCUGGCCGCUUAACGGUCAGAAUGCCGGAGGAUACUCCCAGCCUAGGGAGCGGGAGAGGCCGAGGGUAUUCCCGGAGUAGGGGGGAAAUCCUAUAAUCCCGGGAGGACCACCGGUGGCGAAGGCGCUCGGCUGGAACGCGUCCGACGGUGAGGGACGAAGGCCAGGGGAGCAAACCGGAUUAGAUACCCGGGUAGUCCUGGCUGUAAACGAUGCGGACUUUGUGUCGGACAAGCUAUGAGCUUGUCCGGUGCCGGAGGGAAACCGUUAAGUCCGCCGCCUGGGGAGUACGGCCGCAAGGCUGAAACUUAAAGGAAUUGGCGGG